rnacentral:rRNA from 1 species
GACGGGUGAGUAACGCCGUAAAGAACUUGGCCUCACAAGCUAGGGACAACAUUUAGAAAUGAAUGCUAAUACCUGAUAUUAUGAUUUUAAGGCAUCUUAGAAUUAUGAAAGCUAUAAGCACUGUGAGAGAGCUUUGCGUCCCAUUAGCUAGUUGGAGAGGUAACAGCUCACCAAGGCGAUGAUGGGUAGCCGGCCUGAGAGGGUGAACGGCCACAAGGGGACUGAGACACGGCCCUUACUCCUACGGGAGGCAGCAGUGGGGAAUAUUGGACAAUGGACCGAGAGUCUGAUCCAGCAAUUCUGUGUGCACGAUGAAGUUUUUCGGAAUGUAAAGUGCUUUCAGUUGGGAAGAAAAAAAUAACGGUACCAACAGAAGAAGUGACGGCUAAAUACGUGCCAGCAGCCGCGGUAAUACGUAUGUCACGAGCGUUAUCCGGAUUUAUUGGGCGUAAAGCGCGUCUAGGUGGUUAUGUAAGUCUGAUGUGAAAAUGCAGGGCUCAACUCUGUAUUGCGUUGGAAACUGUAUAACUAGAGUACUGGAGAGGUAAGCGGAACUACAAGUGUAGAGGUGAAAUUCGUAGAUAUUUGUAGGAAUGCCGAUGGGGAAGCCAGCUUACUGGACAGAUACUGACGCUAAAGCGCGAAAGCGUGGGUAGCAAACAGGAUUAGAUACCCUGGUAGUCCACGCUGUAAACGAUGAUUACUAGGUGUUGGGGGUCGAACCUCAGCGCCCAAGCUAACGCGAUAAGUAAUCCGCCUGGGGAGUACGUACGCAAGUAUG